rnacentral:tRNA from 1 species
UGGUUGCGGGGGCUGGAUUUGAACCAGCGACCUUCAGGUUAUGAGCCUGACGAGCUACCAAGCUGCUCCACCCCGCG